GAUUUUGGAGGGCAAGUCUGGUGCCAGCAGCCGCGGUAAUUCCAGCUCCAAUAGCGUAUAUUAAAGUUGUUGCAGUUAAAAAGCUCGUAGUUGAAUUUCGGGGUUAGUAGGUUGGUCAUGCCUCCGGUAUGUACUGAUCUCACUGAUUCCUCCUUCCUUAUGAACCGUAAUGCCAUUAAUUUGGUGUUGCGGGGAAUUUGGACUGUUACUUUGAAAAAAUUAGAGUGUUUAAAGCAAGCUAACGCUUGAAUACAUUAGCAUGGAAUAAUGAAAUAGGACGUUCGAUCUUAUUUUGUUGGUUUCUAGGAUUGACGUAAUGAUUAAUAGGGAUAGUUGGGGGCAUUAGUAUUCAAUUGUCAGAGGUGAAAUUCUUGGAUUUACUGAAGACUAACUACUGCGAAAGCAUUUGCCAAGGAUGUUUUCAUUAAUCAAGAACGAAAGUUAGGGGAUCGAAGACGAUCAGAUACCGUCGUAGUCUUAACCAUAAACUAUGCCGACUAGGGAUUGGAUGAUGUUAAUUUUUUAAUGACUCAUUCGGCGCCUUACGGGAAACAAUC
rnacentral:rRNA from 1 species